rnacentral:lncRNA from 1 species
AAGAUGAAUAGAGUUAAUGUUGUUGACCGAUUGAUUUUCCUCCUGGUAAAUCCGUUGAUUUUCCUCCUGGUAAAUCCAUGACUAAUUCUAUCACAAUCUUUUCUUCAUUAUUUUUAUCUAAUGUUCCCUUGCAGUGAAAUUCUUAGUAUCUCCGGUGUGUCUGAUGUCGACAAAUCUGUCUCCUUUAAAGGAUGCCAUUGGUGCUUGAAGUUAAAUGGAACAAGCUCAAUCUUAACUUUUUCAUAUGUGGGGAACAUAUCUUCUAUUAAGGACGUGUGCUCAAUAAAUCACUCCAUGGAACAAGAAAGUACAGGUUAGAUCUUGUGCCUUUCGUUCUGAUAUUAAUUGUCCCCUUUUCUUUUCGGGCUGAUAAUAUAGCUAAUAUGUUCUACCUUGAACUAAAUACUGUUUCAGAUCUUACGUUCUUCAAUAAAUUAUCAACAUGGUAAUGACAUGUUACUUAUAUACUACAGCUUCGAAAACAUGUUCUUUUAAGUACAUCUGGUAUAUUUUAAAUCAUUAGGAAAUGAAUUGAUCCAAAAUGCAUAGUGCAUCUUUUUAGUUCGGUAAUUUUGGAUGUUAGGUGGCAUAAGUAGUGCCCCUGUUAGUUUGUCGGGUUAAGUGAAAUUUUUUGUGAUGCUUCCCAUAGUUCUUUGCCUUCAUGAAACAACAUAUGGGUGAGGCAAUAUAUUUUCCUGUCUAUAUAUCGGCGUCUCUAUUUUUAAAAAUUGGCAUUGAGGAUCCCUUUUACAUGUUUUUUCUACACCCUGCUGGGAGCUGAAUUGCCUUUCCUAUAUAUGAACCGAUGGCAAGACAUUCAAAGCACGGUUCCUCGCAUCUGAGCGACAGUUUUUAUGCCCUAUGCCCUUGUCCGUCUCACAUAUCUACCUCAUAUCUACAGGAAAAUAUAUCUUUUCUUUCUAGUGCUAAGGCAAUCUAUCUACACGUAAUCUAUGGAUUCUUUGUAGUUCAAAUGGACUAAUCUAUAUAUUAUUUAUGCAGUACUGUUUAUUCAGUUAAAGGUGCCCUUUUCUAGAGAGUGAAAACGGGUGUAGGGCAGGCUAUAUGGGUAGACCACCAAAAUAGUUAUGUAGUUGUAGUUGGCUAGCAAUAGCUUAUAUCCCUAAUUAUAUUCGAUUUUCUGGUUGUACGCAAUUUGCUUUCCUCGUAGGCAGAAGUAAUGGCUGAGCUAAGUUAACGGCUACAUGUUCCAGAACAAAUUGGAUCUGCAUUGUGUAGAUCGAUUGAUGAUAUUUAUCCUACUUUUAGAGAAAGGACUAAGCCCAACUUUUAAUACAAAGCUUUGAAAUAUUCUGAUAUUGCUGGGCCAG